GACUCAGUGAAAUUGAAAUCGCUGUGAAGAUGCAGUGUACCCGCGGCUAGACGGAAAGACCCCGUGAACCUUUACUACAGCUUGGCACUGAACAUUGAACCUACAUGUGUAGGAUAGGUGGGAGGCUUUGAAGACGUGACGCCAGUUGCGUUGGAGCCGACCUUGAAAUACCACCCUUGUAUGUUUGAUGUUCUAACUUAGACCCGUUAUCCGGGUUGAGGACAGUGCCUGGUGGGUAGUUUGACUGGGGCGGUCUCCUCCCAAAGAGUAACGGAGGAGCACGAAGGUGGGCUAAUCACGGUUGGACAUCGUGAGGUUAGUGCAAUGGCAUAAGCCCGCUUAACUGCGAGAAUGACGGUUCGAGCAGGUGCGAAAGCAGGUCAUAGUGAUCCGGUGGUUCUGAAUGGAAGGGCCAUCGCUCAACGGAUAAAAGGUACUCCGGGGAUAACAGGCUGAUACCGCCCAAGAGUUCAUAUCGACGGCGGUGUUUGGCACCUCGAUGUCGGCUCAUCACAUCCUGGGGCUGAAGUCGGUCCCAAGGGUAUGGCUGUUCGCCAUUUAAAGUGGUACGCGAGCUGGGUUUAGAACGUCGUGAGACAGUUCGGUCCCUAUCUGCCGUGGGCGUUGGAAGAUUGAAGGGGGCUGCUCCUAGUACGAGAGGACCGGAGUGGACGAACCUCUGGUGUUCGGGUUGUGUCGCCAGACGCAUUGCCCGGUAGCUAAGUUCGGAAUCGAUAACCGCUGAAAGCAUCUAAGCGGGAAGCGAGCCCUGAGAUGAGUCUUCCCUGACAGUUUAACUGUCCUAAAGGGUUGUUCGAGACUAGAACGUUGAUAGGCAGGGUGUGUAAGCGUUGUGAGGCGUUGAGCUAACCUGUACUAAUUGCCCGUGAGGCUUAACCAU
rnacentral:rRNA from 1 species